rnacentral:rRNA from 1 species
UCCAGACUCCUACGGGAGGCAGCAGUGAGGAAUAUUGGUCAAUGGUCGGGAGACUGAACCAGCCAAGCCGCGUGAGGGAGGAAGGUACAGAGUAUCGUAAACCUCUUUUGUCAGGGAACAAAGACUGGGACGCGUCCCCGGAUGAGUGUACCUGAAGAAAAAGCAUCGGCUAACUCCGUGCCAGCAGCCGCGGUAAUACGGAGGAUGCGAGCGUUAUCCGGAUUUAUUGGGUUUAAAGGGUGCGCAGGCGGUCUGUUAAGUCAGCGGUAAAAUCGCGGGGCUCAACCUCGCUCCGCCGUUGAAACUGGCGUUCUUGAGUGGGCGAGAAGUAUGCGGAAUGCGUGGUGUAGCGGUGAAAUGCAUAGAUAUCACGCAGAACUCCGAUUGCGAAGGCAGCAUGCCGGCUCCACACUGACGCUGAGGCACGAAAGCGUGGGUAUCGAACAGGAUUAGAUACCCGCGUAC